CCUUCUCAUUUUUCUCAAAAUCUGCAAAAUACGAAAUCUCUUGAAAUUGGUUGAAAAUCGCAAAGUAUAUUCUUGAUUGAAUGCUCGUCUUGGGGUAAUGAUUUGUUUUCUCGUUAAAUCAGCCGUUUUUGAAAUGUAAUAUAUAAUUGUGCCGUAUCAAGCUAGCGCUGUAGCGUGCUGGCGCACAACUUGGUUACGGUUUUUUAUGUUUAUUUUGAUAACUUUAGAACCUACGACAAAACAAAGUCAAUUUUUGUGAUCAGCGUUCAAUUGCGAAUCUAAAUCAUGUAUUUUUUACUAGAUCUAGAUUUUUGCGAAAAAUGAAAAAGUGGGAAGGCUAAACCCUUCUCAUUUUUCUCAAAAUCUGCAAAAUACGAAAUCUCUUGAAAUUGGUUGAAAAUCGCAAAGUAUAUUCUUGAUUGAAUGCUCGUCUUGAGGUAAUGUUUUUUACUUUCUCGUUAAAUCAUCCGUUUUUGAAAUGUAAUAUAUAAUUGUGCCGUAUCAAGCUAGCGCUGUAGCGUGCUGGCGCACAACUUGGUUACGGUUUUUUAUGUUUAUUUUGAUAACUUUAGGACCUACGACAAAACAAAGUCAAUUUUCGUGAUCAGCGUUCAAUUGCGAAUCUAAAUCAUGUAUUUUUCACUAGAUCUAGAUUUUUGCGAAAAAUGAAAAAGUGGGAAGGCUAUACCCUUCUCAUUUUUCUCAAAAUCUGCAAAAUACGAAAUCUCUUGAAAUUGGUUGAAAAUCGCAAAGUAUAUUCUUGAUUGAAUGCUCGUCUUGGGGUAAUGAUUUGUUUUCUCGUUAAAUCAGCCGUUUUUGAAAUGUAAUAUAUAAUUGUGCCGUAUCAAGCUAGCGCUGUAGCGUGCUGGCGCACAACUUGGUUACGGUUUUUUAGGUUUAUUUUGAUAACUUUAGGACCUACGACAAAACAAAGUCAAUUUUCGUGAUCAGCGUUCAAUUGCGAAUCUAAAUCAUGUAUUUUUCACUAGAUCUAGUUUUUUGCGAAAAAUGAAAAAGUGGGAAGGCUAUACCCUUCUCAUUUUUCUCAAAAUCUGCAAAAUACGAAAUCUCUUGAAAUUGGUUGAAAAUCGCAAAGUAUAUUCUUGAUUGAAUGAUCGUCUUGGGGUAAUGAUUUGUUUUCUCGUUAAAUCAGCCGUUUUUGAAAUGUAAUAUAUAAUUGUGCCGUAUCAAGCUAGCGCUGUAGCGUGCUGGCGCACAACUUGGUUACGGUUUUUUAUGUUUAUUUUGAUAACUUUAGGACCUACGACAAAACAAAGUCAAUUUUCGUGAUCAGCGUUCAAUUGCGAAUCUAAAUCAUGUAUUUUUCACUAGAUCUAGAUUUUUGCGAAAAAUGAAAAAGUGGGAAGGCUAUACCCUUCUCAUUUUUCUCAAAAUCUGCAAAAUACGAAAUCUCUUGAAAUUGGUUGAAAAUCGCAAAGUAUAUUCUUGAUUGAAUGCUCGUCUUGGGGUAAUGAUUUGUUUUCUCGUUAAAUCAGCCGUUUUUGAAAUGUAAUAUAUAAUUGUGCCGUAUCAAGCUAGCGCUGUAGCAUGCUGGCGCACAACUUGGUUACGGUUUUUAAUGUUUAUUUUUGCUAAUUUAACAAGGAAACCAUUUACUUAAUCGAAAUUAGUGGUCAGUUUUGAAUAUACUGUGUGAUUUUUUCUCCAACGCUAUCGAAAACUUCGAGAACAGCGGGAGCCGUUGAGUGUAAUCUUAGCAUAUACGGUUGCCGCGAUUCAAGAGCAACUUCAGCCCAACCCUAUCGGAAACUUCACGAACGGAGUGAGGACGCCCUAGUCCGGGAGCGGCAGCACAAUAACCCACAAAACGUAUAAAACAAAUCUGAACUAGCGCUCGGCCCCGCGCCAAUCGGGGAACUUUUUAGUCGAUUGGGUGCGGGGAUGAUCUUUAUCGGUUCGGUGAUUUCGGUGAUCGGUGCGGUGAUAUCGGUGAUCGGUGCCUUCCCCGAUUAUAGUGAUCUAAAUUGGCAGUUGCCCUGCGGCCAACAAGAACAAAAUGUGACCCUAAUCACGUGAUUCUCGUUGGCCUAUCAGAACGCAAGGUCACUGGUAAAACUAACCUCCUAUGGCUGAAGCGGUGCUAUCGGUGCAGCACCGAUUAUAGCACAGUUCCGCACCGAGCUUCCCCGAUUAGAAUGUCAUCGGGGCUGAGCCCUAAUCUGAACGACUCUCAAACCUGUGUUUUAUCCCUAUUACAGCAACGCCAUCUAUUGAGAGAAAUAUCGUAAAAAUCGGUAUCGGUGAUGUACUGUACACAUGAGCCCAUCUAGACAGAAUCCCUAUCGGGAAAUUACAAGGCUACAUGCAAGGCUGAAACUGGGAAAGUGACGGGAUGGACUGAGCAUUAUGUCACUCUUAAGCGACGGUCGAAGUUGGUCCUUAAUAAAGUCUAAAUGGGGUUUUAUGUACACGUUUCAUGUUCAAAUGCUUGUUGAACUGCCUGAUGUAGUCUCCCUAUUAAAAUCCAACAGGGUUCCAAAUUGAGUGAUCGCGUUAGGCGAAAUAUUACACAGUCCUUAUUUUAAAGCUGAAUGGUCUUCACUCUAGCCCCACGUAAAGUAAAACUGAACAUUUGAACUUCUGAUCAAUCGGCAAACUGUUAGUAAACAAACAUAAUUGUUCAACAAAUAAAUGGAUCGAUUAAUAUAACAUGGUAUGGGGAAUAGAAUAUGCUGUGUUCCUAAUUAAAGUUCUGGUUAGCCCUUCAACGACCUCAUUUUAGAUUUUACCAUUCAACGCAUUGUUUUGUCAUUGAACUCUCUCUUUUUCGGAAGACAAAAAUUCGUCUGCAAUUACCAGCAGACUUUGAAAUAUGGCAAACAGCAAGGCGAGAGAACGACUGCUAGAAUAAGGUAUUGGUUCCAUUUUUACCAACCAAUACUGUGUUGACUGUUGAGCCUCAAAGAGGAAACAUAUAUAUUUUUUUCCAAAAAUGGGCUACAACUUGAUGAAUAGCUUUCGCUUCCCUUGUCUGAACUGUUUGAACGGUCUGGUGCGCACGAGCCCAGCACGUCGUACAAAUUUAGUCCCGAAGAUGUUUGUCAUUUUGUUUUGUUCGUAUAUGUACAAAAUUAUACACACAUUUCACGAGGGUUACCAGCCACUCCAACCUGCCGACAGUUUCAAAAGGUUCGACCAGGUGUUCGGCUGUUUCUGCAAUUGAGGAAAACUUUGUCGAUUUCAUAUUUGUUUUCAUCUUGAGCAAGAUUCAAGCCAACUCUGCUGAUAGUUUUCUUGUUUUAUCGAACUCCCUGAAAUUUGCAUUAUUUGGCGUUCAGUCACGGUCUUAUUUUCUACGCAACAGAGACGAUAUCGACAACUAAUGGAAGUCCACUGGAACGCUGUUUUAAUGUUGGUGAGCUUGGCCAUGGCUGAAAGCGAACAAGGUAAUGUAACUUUGGAGUCAACACAUGUAGACUCAACAAUUCUUGUACGAUGUUAUAACGACAUGAAAAAUCCCAGUCCUUAAUCGUUGCCAUUCAACCAAACUAAACUCUACACGGCGACCAUUAAUGAAAUUUCCAUUCAGCCAAGACAGAAAUACGAAGCAAUUCAGUGCAUCUGUACGACACGAAUUUGCCAGGAGAUGGCCGAGCCUGUCUGUACCACUUCCGGUUUAUGUUAUUCUCAGUACCUGGAUCGCAGGGAUGGAACUAAUCCGGUCACCAAAGGCUGCGUCAACCUGAAGACACCUCUUCUGUGCGAAAACCGUCCACCAAAGGGCACGUCAUCGCUGCGUGUUAGAUGGCCCAUUUUGCUCUGCUGUCGGACUCAAAUGUGCAAUAAAGAGGAUUUGCGACUACAAGAGCUAACUCAAACUGAUCGCACCGGACAACCUGAAGGAGUCAGCGAGAGGGAAACUGGCGAUAAUAUCGGUGAAGGCGCCAUUCACGUUCCAACCGAUAAAACCAGCCAUGGCGUAUUGACGUUUAGUAACAACAAUAAUAACAGCCAUAAUAAUAACUCACUCUCCAAUCCAACUGUUAUGAUCGUUUUCUGCGUUGGUAUGGUCGUUUUAUUGGUCAUCGGUAUCACGGGGUGUUGCGUUCUUCAGAGGCAACAGGUCUACUGAUGGGCGAUCUUCCACUAUCAGCCGCUAGAUGUCAUGUACUCUCUUUCUUUUUCUUUUUUCAUCCUUUAUGGACAGACAGCGAAAUUUCAGUUUUCUUUUAAUCUUUUCUCGUCUUCCUUUUUUUUUUUAUUGUGUAACAAUGUGUACACAACGCAUUCCUUUGCCCAAACAUGUCGACUAACUAAAACGACGACUCGAUUCCCAUACCCCCCUUCGGCUGGUUGUAUAACGGCGCUUAUCAAUUUCACAAUAGAAAAUAAACAAUAAAACCAAAACUGUAAGAAAAAAUUCACAAUUCACGAGUUUUUGUUUUAUUGCGUCAUUAUUAAAAUAAACAAGUUGCCCCAGAAUCUAUUUGAAUAAAAAGAGAGCCACGCAAUUCAAUUAACAUUUCAACGAGAAGAUAAUGAUGAUUGACCGAACCAAUUCAACUAGCCCCUGUCAUCAUCAUCAACGAAGUGAUGUUGAGCGUAGACAAGCAAGGAUUUAAAAUGGGAGGGAAAAAAAAUAGAUAACGAAAAGGAAAAAAAAAAAAGGAAAUUAAAAUGAGAACGAUGAAAAUUCUGUUGAAUGUUUGGUUUUCCACCUGUCAGAGAAUGUAACACAUUGAGCCCUGAUGAGGAUCAACCUCGUAGGGAAAUCAGGCGGAAAGGAAAAGAAGAAGAAGAAGAAGAAGAAGAAGAUAAAAAAGAACCCAACGGUGGGAAGAGAGAGAAAAAUAAAGAGACAAGAGACCCAAAGAAGGAGGAAACCUGUCGAUAAAGAUCGCCCAAGAAAAGGGCAAGAAUGUCGAGAGCUUCUUCUUUAAUGUCCCCCAUCCUAGUGUGUCCCUCGUCCUCGAAGACAAAAACCUGUCAGCAAAUAUCCACAAGAAGAAGAAAAGAAAGCCUUCUCGUGCGACUCCUCCUCCCUGCUCUCUGAUCGAUAACAUCUAUCGACAGACUUAUUUGACGACGUAGAAUGUUAAAUUAUCAUCUCUUUCCUCUACUCCCUCUUUCUGGCUUGUCUCUCCAAUGACGGCCAUCAGAAGCAGUUUCUGUAGCUCGCAUUUAAAUCUUGCCCAACUGGAAACAAAAAAUACAUAAAAAUCUCGAAACUGGACGGCAGCCAUUAUUUGCGUUGCGACACCCAGUGCUCCACAUUAAAACACGGCAAUAGCGUCCAUUAAGAACAGGUACAAUUCGACAUACCUAUGGCGGAAAAAGGAUUUACUCGACGAAUUAAUGCACGAUCCAACGUGAAAAAAAAAGUAAAAUAAAUUCAACGGAGUGGAGAAUAUCACAAGGUCGCGCGUAUUACAUUUAUAGAUAAAUGUAGCGAACGAAAUAGUUGGGGACACACAUACAGACUCCCGAAAAAAAAAAGCAGAAAGAAAAACAAACGGUCAGAUGACAAAAGAAAAGGAAGAGAACAAAAAAAAGAAGGGGAAAUAUUUGGUCUGGAAAAAUAAAAAACAAUAACAUGACUUUGCUUUUAGUGACCGCUGAAAGGGGCCAUCCUCUAAAAAAAAACACAAAAAACUAAAACCAAACAAACUCCAACAAAUAAAAAUGAAAGAAAAACAUCCAAUCCGGAAUAAAUACUCUGGACACACACAGCAAUAAGAGGCAGACAGAAAAAAGCGAUAUGAUCGAUAACCUCCAGGCAUCAGGACAGCAUUGCCACGAAAAAUGUUUUUAAUGAGAAGCUAUUCUUCGUUCAAUCGCAAACGCGAGUGGUGUGCAUUUGGAGACUUGAAAAGGGGGCAUUCGAUAUAAGCACCUGUCUAAUUACUACAAUAAUUAUGACAGCUGGAAGACAAGCUAAUGGCUCACAAUUCACGUCUUGCUUAACAGAAUUGCCAUACAAUCAAUGCGUCGAUAAGAUAUAAAUCCAUUAUUCGGCUGUGUUAUGAGUGAGUGUUUAGUACGAUCGCUGAGUUCUACAUUAUUUGAAAAGUUUACAUCUAUCAUCAUUUUUGUUUUUGAUUGAUCGAAGAGCCAUAGGUCAGCUGAGUUGCAUAGAGAUGCAUCAUCAUUACCAUCCGGCGUGUCGGACGAU